CACUCAGCAGCUGACUCACAGCCAAAUAUUGGAUGGAGGUUGUGAACUCUUUGGAAAGUUGGAGGAAAGAUUAAGGGCCAAGAAUGGGUUAGAAGUACACAGGAAGACCAACAGAGUCAACUAACCUGGACCCUUGGGAGCUCUUAGAGUCUGAACCACAAACCAAAAUGCAUAUACCGGCUAGACCUAUGCCUCACCACACAUAUGUAGCAGGUUUGUAAGCACAUGUGAGGUACAUGUUUAUAUCGGGGUCCACACGUGUAUAUUUAAUUUGUACAAGGAGUAAAACUUCCAGAAAAAAGAAAAGCAGUCAUCCUUCUUUGGAAGCCUAC